UACGGAAGGCAGCAGUGGGGAAUAUUGGACAAUGGGCGCAAGCCUGAUCCAGCCAUGCCGCGUGAGUGAUGAAGGCCUUAGGGUUGUAAAGCUCUUUCGUCGGGGAAGAUAAUGACGGUACCCGAAGAAGAAGCCCCGGCUAACUUCGUGCCAGCAGCCGCGGUAAUACGAAGGGGCUAGCGUUGUUCGGAAUUACUGGGCGUAAAGCGCACGUAGGCGGACCUGUCAGUCAGAGGUGAAAUCCCGAAGCUUAACUUCGGAACUGCCUUUGAUACUGCAGGUCUUGAGGAUGAGAGAGGUAAGUGGAACUGCGAGUGUAGAGGUGAAAUUCGUAGAUAUUCGCAAGAACACCAGUGGCGAAGGCGGCUUACUGGCUCAUUUUCUGACGCUGAGGUGCGAAAGCGUGGGGAGCAAACAGGAUUAGAUACC
rnacentral:rRNA from 1 species